AUGGUGCACUUUCCCCUCUCAGCACCUGCUGUGCUGCUAUGGCCUCUGUUCUCCCUGCCUGAAUGGUCAAGUUCUAGAAUGGCUGGAGAAUCUAGAACCACAAACAUCAGCUCCAAGACCUGGGCAGUGGCAUGGAUGGGUCUUUUCUCAGAUGCCAAAAACAGUUCCUGCUUUGAAUGUGUGGAUCACAAGAGACUCUCAGGCUGCAGUGCCUUCGUAUGUGGGCCUUUAAGGAGAAGAGGCAUGCCAGCCUCACUCACUCAGACAGCAAGUUUCCAGCAACUAAGCUGGUCCAGGGCAUCCCAAAGUCAGCUGGAGAGAAGACAUCACUGACCUCAGAGAGCUUAGAGAUCGCAGACCCAGCAAUAACCAGGCUGGAGGUUUUCUCUUUGAAGAAGAUGAUGGUGGUGAUCAGACUUGCUGCAGUCUUGUACUUAUCUAAAAUUUGAUGCUACAGUCAAAAUUUAUAUUCAUCUUAUUUUGAAGAAAACAAACUCUGUUUUUAGGAAUGUAAUUUAUGGACUUCAAGUAUGUGCACUUAAUAAAGAUUUUGCUACCCUAUGAUUCA
rnacentral:lncRNA from 1 species